UACGUAGGGGGCAAGCGUUAUCCGGAUUUACUGGGUGUAAAGGGAGCGUAGACGGCGAUGCAAGCCAGAUGUGAAAGCCCGGGGCUCAACCCCGGGACUGCAUUUGGAACUGUGUGGCUGGAGUGUCGGAGAGGCAAGUGGAAUUCCUAGUGUAGCGGUGAAAUGCGUAGAUAUUAGGAGGAACACCAGUGGCGAAGGCGGCUUGCUGGACGAUGACUGACGUUGAGGCUCGAAAGCGUGGGGAGCAAACAGG
rnacentral:rRNA from 1 species